rnacentral:rRNA from 1 species
AAGGUGGGACGCGGACCGAAAAAGAGUAGGGAAGCUGUUAAGCAAGCCGUCAAGAAAAGCUGCUAUUGUUUCAUUAUGGCCCGUACCGUAAACCGACACAGGUGGAUGGGGAGAGAAUCCUAAGGCCGGCGGAAGAAGUAUUGUUAAGGAACUCGGCAAAAUGACCCCGUAACUUCGGGAGAAGGGGUGCCUGCGAGAGCAGGCCGCAGAGAAGAGGCCCAAGCAACUGUUUAGCAAAAACACAGGUCUAUGCAAAACCGAAAGGUGAGGUAUAUGGGCUGACGCCUGCCCGGUGCUGGAAGGUUAAGGGGAGUGGUCAGGAAACGAUGCCACGAACUUAAGCCCCAGUAAACGGCGGCCGUAACGAUAACGGUCCUAAGGUAGCGAAAUUCCUUGUCGGGUAAGUUCCGACCCGCACGAAAGGCGUAAUGAUUUGGGCGCUGUCUCGACAAUACAUCCGGUGAAAUUGAAGUGCCAGUGAAGAUGCUGGCUACCUGCGCCAGGACGGAAAGACCCCAUGGAGCUUUACUCCAGCUUGAUACUGGGACCCGGUAUUGCAUGUACAGGAUAGGUGGGAGGCUAGGAAAUGUGGACGCCAGUCUGCAUGGAGCCGCUGUUGGGAUACCACCCUUGUGGUGCUGGGUUUCUAACCAGAGGCCGUGAACCGGUCUGGGGACAAUGUCAGGUGGGGAGUUUGACUGGGGCGGUCGCCUCCGAAAGGGUAUCGGAGGCGCCCAAAGGUUCCCUCAGAAUGGUUGGAAACCAUUCGAAGAGUGCAAAGGCAGAAGGGAGCUUGACUGCGACACCGACGGGUGGAGCAGGUACGAAAGUAGGGCUUAGUGAUCCGGUGGAAUUUAAGUGGGAAUGCCAUCGCUCAACGGAUAAAAGCUACCCUGGGAUAACAGGCUGAUCACUCCCAAGAGUUCACAUCGACGGAGUGGUUUGGCACCUCGAUGUCGGCUCAUCGCAUCCUGGGGCUGAAGUCGGUCCCAAGGGUUGGGCUGUUCGCCCAUUAAAGCGGUACGCGAGCUGGGUUCAGAACGUCGUGAGACAGUUCGGUCCCUAUCCGGCGUGGGCGUAGGAUAUCUGAGAGGAGCUGUCCUUAGUACGAGAGGACCGGGAUGGACUGACCUCUGGUGUACCGGUUGGCGAUCAACGCCACGGCCGGGUAGCCAUGUCGGGACGGGAUAAACGCUGAAGGCAUCUAAGCGUGAAGCCCCCCCUCAAGAUGAGAUAUCCCAUCGUAAGAGUAAGACCCCUUGAAGACGACGAGGUUGAUAGGGCAGGGGUGGAAGUGCUGUAAGGCAUGGAGCUGACUGCUACUAAUCGGUCGAGGGCUUGACCG